AGUACGAGAUGCUACGGCAUCGAGGCAGUCUAUGUCAUACUUCCAAGAAAAGCUUGCACUGUCAUAAACAAAGAAUGCCUGUACCAUAACCGACACAGGUGGGUAGGUAGAGUAUACUAAGGGGCGCGAGAUAACUCUCUCUAAGGAACUCGGCAAAAUGACUCCGUAACUUCGGGAGAAGGAGUGCCUUAUUUCUAAGGUUGCAAUAACAAGAUCCAAGCAACUGUUUACCAAAAACACAGGUCUCCGCUAAGUCGUAAGACGAUGUAUGGGGGCUGACGCCUGCCCAGUGCCAGAAGGUUAAAGAAGUUGGUUAGCAUUAGCGAAGCUGAUAACUGAAGCCCUGGUGAACGGCGGCCGUAACGAUAACGGUCCUAAGGUAGCGAAAUUCCUUGUCGGGUAAGUUCCGACCCGCACGAAAGGCGUAAUGAUUUGGAUACUGUCUCGGAGAGGGGCUCGGUGAAAUAGACUUGUCUGUGAAGACGCGGACUACCUGCACCUGGACAGAAAGACCCUAUGAAGCUUUACUGUAACUUGAGAUUGAAAUUGGACUUUAUUUGCGCAGUAUAGGUGGGAGGCGUUGAGAAUAAUCUUGCGGGAUUGUUGGAGCCAUCAGUGAGAUACCACUCUUGUAAUGUUAGAUUUCUAACUUUGUAUCAUUAUCUGGUCAAAGAACAGUUUCAGGCGGGCAGUUUGACUGGGGCGGUCGCCUCCCAAAGGGUAACGGAGGCGCACAAAGGUUUCCUCUGAACGGGUAGAAAUCGUAUCUAGAGUGUAAAGGCAUAAGGAAGCUUGACUGUGAGACCUACAAGUCGAGCAGGGACGAAAGUCGGUCUUAGUGAUCUGACGGUGCUGAGUGGAAAGGCCGUCACUCAACGGAUAAAAGUUACUCUAAGGAUAACAGGCUGAUCUCCCCCAAGAGUUCACAUCGACGGGGAGGUUUGGCACCUCGAUGUCGGCUCAUCGCAUCCUGGGGCGGUAGUCCGUCCCAAGGGUUGGGCUGUUCGCCCAUGAAAGCGGUACGCGAGCUGGGUUCAGAACGUCGUGAGACAGUUCGGUCCAUAUCCGGUGUAGGCGUUAGAAUAUUGAGAGGAGCCUUCUCUAGUACGAGAGGACCGAGAAGGACAUACCUCUGGUGUACCAGUUAUCGUGCCAACGGUAAACGCUGGGUAGCUAUGUAUGGAGUGGAUAACCGCUGAAAGCAUCUAAGUGGGAAGCCCACCUCAAGAUAAGUAUUCUCACC
rnacentral:rRNA from 1 species